GCCCGCCUAGCUCAAUCGGAUAGAGCGUCAGACUCUUACACUAGGCGGUGAUCUGAAGGCUGCGAGUUCGACCCUCGCGGUGGGCU